rnacentral:tRNA from 66 species
GCGCCCUUAGCUCAGUCGGAUAGAGCAACGGCCUUCUAAGCCGUGGGUCGCAGGUUCGAAUCCUGCAGGGCGCGCCA